rnacentral:rRNA from 1 species
GAUCAUGGCUCAGGAUGAACGCUGGCGGCGUGCCUAACACAUGCAAGUCGAACGAAGCUCCAACCCCCGCGUUUCGGACAAGGGGUGCGGAAGACUUAGUGGCGGACGGGUGAGUAACGCGUGAGCAACCUGCCUUUCAGAGGGGGACAACAGCUGGAAACGGCUGCUAAUACCGCAUAACGUAUAUUUAAGGCAUCUUAGAUAUACCAAAGAUUUAUCGCUGAAAGAUGGGCUCGCGUCUGAUUAGAUAGUUGGUAGGGUAAUGGCCUACCAAGUCUGCGAUCAGUAGCCGGACUGAGAGGUUGAACGGCCACAUUGGGACUGAGAUACGGCCCAGACUCCUACGGGAGGCAGCAGUGGGGAAUAUUGGGCAAUGGGGGAAACCCUGACCCAAGCAACGCCGCGUGAAGGAAGAAGGCUUUCGGGUUGUAAACUUCUUUUAUCUGUGACGAUAAUGACGGUAGCAGAUGAAUAAGCCACGGCUAACUACGUGCCAGCAGCGGC